AUUUUAAUAACCGAUUUUGCCUUUAGAUAUAACUAUCUUCGUUUAUUCCUAGGUUUCUUGGCUUCCAGCUUUCGACGAGCUUGUCUCCUCGUUUCGUCUCUUGUUGUCAUCCUUGAAUAUAUUGCCAAAUCGAGGAUGAAAAAAAGGUCAGUGAUCCUAAGAAAAUCGCUAAAAAAAGUCAGUGAUCCUACGAAAAUCGCUUACUUCAGAUUCUCAAAAAGGUUUAGGCUUUUGAUUUUUCUUUUUCUUUUAAGGAUGUGAAUAGUUGUUUCGUCCAUAGAUUCAAGAAGUUGGAUCUUGAUUUAAUUAUGUUCUCGUUAGUAAAAUUGUAUAGACAAGUUAUAUCAGUGCAGUUAAUUGCUUCUCUACACAACUUUUCAGGUUUUUUUUGCACAUAGAAAAUGCUCCCCCUAAUUUGUUUCAAUGAUGUUAUCUUAUGCAUGUCUCUGUAUGAUAAUUUGAUAAGAGCUGGUUUGGGACAAAUAGUGCCAUAGCCAGAUACCACACAAUUCCAUUCUUGUACAAGAGCUUGUAACUUUGAUCUCGAUUACUUUUUUUACAGUAAAAUUGCUGAUCAUCCACCGCUGGUAAUACUCGGGUGUUCUUAUAUUAUUACUCAAAACAAAGAGUAAGAAGAAGGACAAUUCAAAAAUUGUGAACUGGUCAUUGAAAAGCAGUAACACCAGAAUCAGAGUGUAUCUUUGGAAUAGUAGCACCAGCAUUUCUACAAAUUAUAAGUUGAUACAUCAAACAAUUUUUGGAAAAGUAAAAAUUUAAUUCGUACGAUCAUGCUUUACAAAAAGUUGGUACAUCAAAACAUUUGGUGGUACUAAGCAUCCAAACAUCAUCAAUAUCCAGUACGUGAAAACAAACUAAAGAUAAUGGUUAUUAGUGUGAUUGGUGCUGCUUGGUUACUUAGUACCACCAAAUCUUUUUAAUAUUAGUUUGAUUAAGAAAUAACGACUGUCGAAAAAUUAACAACAACAGGCUUGUGAUUGUAUGUUCUCUCCUCUGGGUAUGGCAGAGGGAGUUAUGGAAAUGAGAGAGGCUUUGUGUCUCUUUUCUAUCCAAUGUUCAGACUUUUUGCAUAUAGAAAAUGCUCUCAAAUUGGUUUCAGUGAUCAUAUAGACUUCAAUAUGACUCAUAUGUGUUUUCAGCUGCUUAUAUACAUAUAAAGCAGAUCACUACCAUCUUAAUUUGCUUAUUUAUACGCAGGUUUAUGGGCAUAUAUAUGAUCUGCAUCUUUAAUAUUUCUACAAAGGAAUGUUGUUAUCCUCUUCUUAUAUUCUUAUUCACCCAAAUCACUCAUAUCUGGCUUAUUAUUGUAGUGGAAGAUCUCAGGUUUAUUUUUAGCAUCUGCAAUUUCCAAGAGAAGAGCACAGAGUUCUUGAGGCUUGGAGAACAUUGCCAUAUGAUCUGCAUCUUUGAUCUCCAUAACUUCUUUUGGUAGAAAGUUGCUAAUCGAUCAUACAACGCUGGUAAUCCUCAGGUAACGUUAGAUCCUCUCCACAUACUAUAUAUACGAGUAACAGAUCAUACCUUUCCUCGCUAAAGCUUUUUGUACCUGCCAGAUUGUGUGUAACUAUCGGGUUUACACUCACCAACAUUUUCGCCAACACAUGCAAGAUCCUAACAUGCCACAACAACAAUCAACAAAAGAUUGAGCACUGAGGUUACUAGCAAAUCUCCAUUGACGCUAAUGAUUGUCAAAUCUGGCAAUGGAGACCUUGGAUUUCAAUUUCCUGAUCUCUUUGUUUUAGAAGAAACCAAGAUAAUCCUGGAGAUAUCAAUAGGGUGUACUAGUAUGGAAUCUCGAAUCAGUAGAGAGUAAUAGUAACAUAAGUUUAUUAAAUUAAAAAAGAUGAUGCCUUUGUUUUUUUGUUUUUAAUGAAACCAAAAGAGAUGGUUAAAGCUGGCAAUAGGGUGUACUAAUUCACAAUGGAAACUUUAAAC
rnacentral:lncRNA from 1 species